rnacentral:rRNA from 1 species
UACGGGGGGUGCGAGCGUUGUCCGGAAUCACUGGGCGUAAAGGGCGCGUAGGUGGUUUGAUAAGGGUGUGGUGAAAGCCCGGGGCUCAACCCCGGGUCUGCCGUGCCGACUGUCAAACUCGAGGGCUGUAGAGGCAGACGGAAUUCCGGGUGUAGCGGUGGAAUGCGUAGAGAUCCGGAGGAAGACCGGUGGCGAAGGCGGUCUGCUGGGCAGUUUCUGACACUGAGGCGCGAAAGCGUGGGGAUCAAACAGG